rnacentral:rRNA from 1 species
GACGUAGGGGGCAAGCGUUGUCCGGAAUUAUUGGGCGUAAAGCGCGUGUAGGCGGCUUUGCAAGUCGGGUGUGAAAGCCCUCGGCUCAACCGAGGAAGUGCGCCCGAAACUGCAGAGCUUGAGUACCGGAGAGGGUGGCGGAAUUCCCCAAGUAGAGGUGAAAUUCGUAGAUAUGGGGAGGAACACCGGUGGCGAAGGCGGCCACCUGGACGGAUACUGACGCUGAGACGCGAAAGCGUGGGGAGCAAACAGG